rnacentral:lncRNA from 1 species
CGGCAGCCGCCUAUGCUCGACCCUCCGAGCCGGAGGGCGGAACAGAUCGCUGUAGUGCCUUGGAAGUGGAGAAAAAGUUACUCAAGACAGCUUUCCAGCCCGUGCCCAGGCGGGCCCAGAACCACCUGGACGCCGCUCUGGUCUUAUCAGCUCUCUCCUCAUCCUAGCUUGUUUAAAAAUAAAAAUUUUUAAAAAAAGAAAGAAAGGAAAGAAAGACGAAAGAAAUUUUAAAUUGUUGUAAUAAUUGUAAAAAAAAAAUCCCUCUGUAUAGUUAACGACUUGCAAGCAUGUCCGUGUAUGAAUACCCAAAAAGAGAACUUAACAAAAAGAAAGAAAAAGAAAUAAAACCUGUCCCCCUCGAACUUCAAGUCGCUUCUGUGCCACCCCACAUUCGAUGUGACUGUGAGGUGCUUUGUUCGGUUGAUGGGGGGGAGGGUGUUCAUGGAGAAUAAGCAUAUCUGACAUUUUUGUAUAUACAGAUAAAUGUACAUAUGUGUGAACCAAAUUGUACAAGAAAGUAUCUAUUUUUGGCUAAAUAAAUGAGCUGUUGCCACUUUGACUAUACAACCGGCCUGUCUGCCCA